rnacentral:lncRNA from 1 species
CAGCACUCUAUCCAUUGAGCUAACUGGGAGGCGGUCAGUGAAGCCGGGGAGUUUACAGUGAAAUUACAUGAUGUACUUGAAGCCCACAAAGCAGUCAUGAAUUAUAAGUUGUCAAUGGAU